rfam:Pan troglodytes isolate Yerkes chimp pedigree #C0471 (Clint) chromosome 4, whole genome shotgun sequence.
UGCCGGCCGAGACAGCACAGACAGACCGACCGACUGGGGUGUUUCGCAAUUGUGAGAGGCGGGUAACCGCGCUGCGCUCCUGUGCUGCGGCCGGUGGCUUCACUGCCUGCGACGCCCUGCCUGUGCUGCCCGACUGGCUGGCAAGAUGAAGCUCUCCCUGGUGGCGGCGAUGCUGCUG